GUAGAUAACGGUAAAGAAGUGUAGUAAAUGAACAGAGAGCAGCUUUUAACCAUGUCUACAAGUACUAAUCAACCCGGUGCAGCGGUAUACAAGCACCUCCAAGUGUUCAGCAACAGUAUGGAGUUCCACAGCAACUUGCAACCAGUUACCAGCUACCUGCAACUCAACAACAGCCUGCCACCAUGCAAUUACAACAAGUGGUCCAACCUCAACAGGCUCCUAUAAUGCAAGCAGCCCCAAUACAGUAUGUGAACCAAGUGGCCCCACAACAGCAAGUGUAUGCUCCACAGUAUCAACCUCAGCAAGCUCCUAUAAUGCAAGCAGCCCCACAACAGCAAGCCAUGUAUGCUCCACAAUAUCAGCCUAAGCCUCUGCAGUUGCAAGGUCAGGCUCCCCAGUAUCAUGGCAAUCAGGUUGCUUAUUCUGCACAGCAAGGAGGUGUUGCAUAAAUUAUCAUGAGUUCUGAUUGCAUGAAUCCUCCAAACUUCAACUACAAACCAAACGACUACAUUAUUCUGACAAUUGCCGUAGCAGUUAUCUUUGGAAUUUUCUUCAUUGGGAGUCUCUUUUGCUCAAUCCCAGCAGUCGUACUGUCUGUGAAGAGCAAUGCGGCGACUACUGCAGGCAAUAUCAAGGCGGGACGCAGACUGGGAGUGUUUGCUGUCUACCUUGUUGUCAGUGCCAUACUGUUUGCUCUCGUAGCAGACAUUGUCAUCGUUGGGAUUGUGAUAGCUGGAAGCAGGAUGCCAUAUUAUUGUACUGGAUUCUACGGUAGUU